GGUGCCGCGAGUUUGCACAUCCACGGGCGCGGCGCACGGAGAAUUUCGCUCUCUUCAAAUUUUGAGGGCAGCUGCCCUGAAAAUGUUCCGACUAAACGUGAGCUCAACUAUUUGAACCAUCAACGAUGAGAUAAAUGCUCAAUUAAUAAAUUGGCUACAUCAGCUCUACACGAGAAAAUUUCCUACCUUCAAAUAUGGAAGAUAUCAAAAGGAAUGUUGCGGAAGAGAAGAAAAUGCCUGAUAGGCCAGCCAAUGUAGGAUAUUUUCUGUCGAAAAACCAACCCAAACAAGACGCAGACAAUGUUUGUGUCCUCGUCGUUCAUUACAACUUUGAAGAAACAAAGAUCGAAACCUGGAUUCGGAGAGGUGAUGGUCAGGACGUGAAGAAUCUGAAACGGACCUUCGAAGAGAAUCGUAACUGCAACUUCCACAGUAUUUUGUCACCAGAAAAAGGUGAGUUGCUCGAACUUCUCUCCGAUCAAGAAAAACUGCUAGGAUUAUUUGGCUGUUCAGAUGUUCCAUCAGUGUUUGUGCUUUACAUUCUUUCUCACGGCCACAGAGAUGGAAUAAUCUUCACAGACCACUUCAAGGACGAUGUUCGCGUUGAAGAUCUGGCCAGCAGUAGGGACCCGAAAGAGUUGUUCGUUUCCUUCACAACAACCGAGAUAUUCGAGUCUCUGAACAAGCUGACCGGUUUUGAGGAAUGUCUGAAACUAAUUAACUUUGGUCCAUGUAGAGGAGAACUGGCAGACAAAAUUUUCGACCCGAAUGAAAAAUACAUCGAAUACAACAACGAAAAUUCUUGCCGAAUAACCUACAUCCCUUGGAUGAAGAACACGGUUGUGUUCUUCUCAACGGUCGAAACGACCUUGGCCAACAGAGACCCGUCAGCAGGAACACCUUUUGUCCACCAUUCUUGCGAUGUUUUUAAUUCGCUUGAGAAGGACGAGAGUCUCGUUAAUGUCCUGACAACUAUUCAAUAUGAGAUUCACGCAAGUUACACAGGACAAACACCAGAAUUCAAGAUGUCUUCGCAGGACAGAAGUUUCGUCUUCUCAAAAAGUUUUACUGACUCAUCUGCCUCAACAUUCGACGCUAAAAGCAACAAAAUGGAUAAGAAACGCGGUUUUUACUCUUGGAAGUCAAGCUCUGGGGAACACUUGCGACACCGCCUUGCGUUCUUAUUUUCCGCAGAGCCAAAUAAGCAGUUGGAAGAAAUUAGAACAUCGCUGUCCGAAAACUUAAAUUUUGAGACCAGCGAAAUGAAGCUGAGUGGAACGCCGUGGACGUCCAUUAAUAAAGCCUCGUGGCGAGACCUCGACAUUGGCUGCAUUUUCCUGAUAUUUUUUGGCCUUUUGAGUAAAAACAAAGACACGAAUGAGGUUUGCGUGCAGGUGGACGGUCAAGAAACUGCGGUAUCUGAAAUACUGCGCGAGUUUAUCGGGCCAACGAACGAACAGUGGAUUGGAAAACCGAAAGUAUUAAUCCUUGUGAAUCAGGAAACGAGCUCAUUCGACGCAAUGGCAUCAAAAAGAGCCAGGAUGGAUAUUCCAGCCACAAACCACAGUGGAUGGUUAGUCUUUGUCUUGCACAACAAAGCUACACUUCAAAAGCUGAUAGAAAUCUUCAACGGACAAGAUUUGAAAAGAGAGAAAACUUUGCAAGAACUGCUCACAAGUCAUCUUCUUUCCGAAUCAAAAGAAAAUAGGGAUUUUCUUAACUCGACACUUCAGUAUCUCCUCAAUUUUCCCGACCCUUUUGUUAAACCCACCUUCUCAGUUACCAAGCCUAAAAAAUCUCGAGAAAAACACAUAAGCUUCGACAUCUUGAUUAAGGAAUCGGCAAGAGAAAAUAAGAUUUUUAUCAUGAGUUCAGUCGCAGGAACAGGAAAGACGACAAUCCUUAGGGAAAUGGCUUUUCAGCUUGGAAAACUAAAACCAGAAUCACAAAUUUUACUCGUUUCCCUGCCGGAAGUUUCGUUCAGCUCUCUAAAGCGGAACGUGAACGAAACUGAAUUUCUCGCGAAAGCCACACAUAACCCACCAGAGAAAAUAGCCAAGAGCAUAGAAAACAAGCUGUGUGUUGUGUUGCUUGAUGGGUUCGAUGAAAUCAUUCGUCCUGAAAACCAAGAAACAACACUGAAAGUAAUACAAGCUCUAGAAGAGAAGCAGAUAUCCGUGUGGAUCGGAACGAGACCUCACGCAGCAGAAGCAAUCCAAAAGCGGGCAUCAAACGCUGUUCUAGUGCAGAUUGGUCCCUUGGAUGAAGAGCAGCAAAUCGAGUUAUUUCAGCUGGAGACGGGCAAGAGUAAAGACGAAAGUGAAUUGUUCAUCAAGAACUUCGCAUCAAAGGACAUCUUGAGAAAUCCUUUGCACCUUUCUUUGGUUGCCAAGUACGGGGCAGAAGGUAACUUGUACCAAAUCUACGACAAGGUUGUGCGACACAAAGUGGAACUCUCUCUUCGAGACAAGGAAGGAUAUGACGAGAGCAAAAGGAUCGAGUUUAAUGAAAAAAUUGCCAAUGCCAUGGGAGAUCUCCAAAAGUUAGCAAGUUGCCACAUCAGAGGAGUUAAACUUGCUGAUUACACGAAAGACGACCUACAAAAAAACAAUUACUAUGGCAUUGCAACGUUUGAAAACAACAAGGCGAAUUUCAUUCAUCAAACUUUCGCCGAAUUUCUUGCAGCCCAGUAUUUUGUAAGUAAUAUAGAUGAUUUCAUCACCGACACUGCAAAAUUAUUUUUCGGGACAUCAUUUUCGUGGUGCAGAAAGUUUGUCGAUCUGUUCUAUUCCACGGUUUUGAAUGACAAUGAAAUAAUUAAAGAGCAUAGAGCAUCAAUUCUUAGAGUCAUGAAGUUGAAUCCAGAUGCAUUUUUGGGAUUGAUUGCUAAAGAUGGUUGUAUUAAUAUUUUCAAAAUGAUAUAUCCAUUUAUCACCUUCCGUAAAAACGAAGAGAGUAAUUGCAAUUCUGUUGCAAAUGAUAAGACUCUCUUGGUCAGAGCAAUCGAAGGCGAAGCGGAAGAAAUUGCUAUCAUGCUGCUACAUUCAGACUUGAUCAACAGUGAUGAUGAGAUCCUUACAACUUUACCUUUCCUGUUGAGGUCAGUAGCAGAAUCAAACGCAACUCUCUUCUUCGAGAAGCUCAGGACAAAAUAUCCUAAAUUGCCAGAUAUGAUCGGCUCUAGAAGAUUUUGUAUAGACGCUGGAGUGAUAGCAGCAAGAAAGAAUCACGGCGAAAUCCUUGAUCUUCUGCUCGAAAGCGGUGUCGACAAAGAUUUCGUACAUCCUGAGGAAGGAAACGCUCUACAUUGUGCUGUCAGUUAUGGAGCUUUGAAAUGCGUGGAAGUUUUGCUUAAGCAUGGCGUGAAAUUAGCAAAAUGUGGAUUUAGAGAAGAAUACUGCAACCCAUUGGAAGAGGCUGUUUUAAAAGAAGAUGUGAAUCAGGUCAAGUUCUUGUUGGAGAAAAAUGUCAAUGGACUGCCACGCUACAUAGAAAUAUUCGGAACCAAUGAAGAUGAUACAUUUUCGCAUGCUCUAAAAAGAUAUGUUUGUGAGGGGGGAAGAAACUUUGAAUUCAUAAAAUGUUUAUUAAAAGAGGGUCCAAGUUUGAAUUACGUGGGAAAUGGCUAUGAAAAUGGUCUUCUACAAUUUUUUGCUGAAAGGGAUAUUUUUGAAAUGUGUGAAUGGCUUAUUGACGUAGCAGGGCUCGACGUGAACACUUUACGACCAAGUGGAGAACCAAGAUUUAGAUUGGAAGAAAAGCGCGUCAAUUUAUGCAUGGAAUAUUUUCUAAUGCUGCAGAAGAGUGACAUUAACACGACGGAUAAAAGAGGAAAAACUGCUCUUCACUGCGCUGCGGAACGUGGAUAUUUUGUACGUGUCCAAAAAUUGAUCGAUUCUAAAGCAAACGUUCGAGCUGUAGACGAAAAUGGAUGGAAUGCAUUUCAUUUUGCAUGCAAAAGUAACACUGACCAAACAGUAAAAGUCAUUCGAUUGUUGCUCAACAAUGAUCGUGAGCUGGCCAAAGUGAAAACCAAAAGUGGUCAAACAGGGCUGCAUAUUCUUCUGAAAUUCAGCGAGAUCAGCGAUGAGUCCUUGGUAGAGGGAGCACGUUUUCUGAUCCAAGAGAUUGGAUUAGAUGUCAGAGCAAAGGACGAAGAUGGAUGGAAUGCAUUUCAUUUUGCUUGCUAUAAAUACAGUCAACAUAAAAAAGAAGUGAUUCGAUUCUUGCACAGCACUGAUAGUCAGCUGGCUAAGGAGAAAACCGGAAGUGGACAAACAGGGCUGCAUAUUUUUCUGAAAUGCAGCGAUGACCACUUGGUUGAGGAACUGUUUUUUAUGGUCGAAGAGAUUGGAGUUGACGUAAGAGCAAAGGACAACAAUGGCUGCACAGCGUUGCAUAUUGCAUUUGACAAAGGAAAUAAUUGCGUUUACUAUUUGAUGACAAAAGAUAUCGACCUGGAAGUAAAAACCAAACGGGGGAGAACGUGCCUUCAUGCAGCCGCUCUAAGGGGUGAUUUAGAGGCUCUGCAAAAUUGGAUAGAACUGGGAGGAAACUUGGAUGUGGUAGAUGAAGAUGGAUCGACUGCGUUGCAUUUGGCUUCAGAAAAAGGACAUUUGCAAUUUGCGAAAAAGCUUUUAGAACGCGCGGCAGAGGAAGUUAAUAAUCCAGAAAAUGCUAAGGGAUCUGUUGGAUCCACACUGAAGGAGAUCGUGGUGGUAAACAGAUGUAACAAAAAAGGAAGGACAGCUCUGCACCUUGCUGCUGAAUCAGGAAAUGUUGAUUUGGUGGACAUUUUGCUUGAAAAUAACGCAGAUUUAACCCAUACGGACCUUGAGGGAAAGAAUGCAAUCCACUUCGCUAUCAAAAACGAAAGAAUGUUACGGUUCCUCAAUGAGAAGAACGGAGAUCUUGUGAAUCAGCGUACAUUAGAUGGAAACACAACUCUACAUUUGGCAAUAAACCUCUUUAAUAAAGAUGACAUGAACAUCAUUCGGUGGAUUGUAAAUAAAGUAGGCAACAACUGCUUGAACGCAAAAAAUGCUUAUGGCGACAUACCACUCUUACUUGCUUGCAAAAACGGGGUGUGGAAUGUCGCCGAAUUGCUGCUGACCAGAAAUGUUGAGGUCAAUGUCUCGAACAGGUGGGGAGAAACUGCAAUGCACUACGCCGCAAGAAAAGGAAACUUGGAAUUAAUGAGACUUUUGCUUAAGAAAGGUGCGGAUUUGACUCGAAGAGACAACAAGGGAAAGAACGCAUUGCAUCUCUCCGCAGAAAAUGGAAACUUGUCUUUAGUGAAGCUGAUGCUUGAGAGCGGUGCGGAUUUGACUCAAAGAGACAACAAGGGAAUGAAUGCCUUGCACCACGCAACGAGACACUUUGAGAUAUUGUUAUUUCUUCACGAGAAAAACGAUGGAUUGUUGAAACAGCGUCUUAAAGACGGAGACACAACCCUCCAUUUGGCAUUAAAAACGUGGGACAUUGACACUGACACAAUUCUUUGGCUUCAUGAACAAUGCAAAAUUUAUAUGAAUUCAAAAAAUAGCGAGGGUGAGACACCGCUUCUGCUGGCUUGCAAGUAUAGAAGGUGGAAUGUUGCUAAAAUAUUGAUGGAUAAAUGCGUCGAUAUAAACGUGAAAGAUAAAAAUGGAAGAACGGCCCUGCACUACGCCGUUAGUUUGGAUAGAUUAGAUCGACUUGAAGAUUUAUUUGCUUUUGAUUUGGUGCAAGAGUUGCUCAAAAGAGGCGCAGAUUUAGCGUUGACAGACAACGAUGGGAUGAACGCAUUUCACCAUGCGAUAACAAACUUUCGCAUGGCUUUAUUCAUUCAUGAGUUGAAUGGUGAUUUGGUAAAACAGCGUUUGAACAAUGGAGAUACCACUUUGCAUAUGGCAAUCAAAAUACGCGGAUGGAAUAGGAAUGAUGAGUUUCUUGUUUGGCUUGUGGAGCAAGACGUCGUUGAUUUAAACGCAAGAAAUGCUUUGAAAGAAACUCCGCUGAUUCUGGCUUGCAAGGAGAGGCUCUGGGAAUGGCAAUGGAAAUGCAAAUUUUUUGAAAUACUUUUGUCAAAAAAUGUGGAUGUGAACAUAAGAGACAUUUGGGGGAAAUCUGCUCGUGACUACAUAGACGAAACUUGUCCAUUUCAUUUACUUAAAAGGUUUGAUGAACUUGCAGAAGCUUCACCCAGUAAAAAAAUGGGAAUGAGUUAAAUUCACUUUUUCUUGCCCAGAUUUCUGACCUGUUUACUUUUUCUUACUCCAACGCUUGAUGACUUCAAGCAUCGCCACCAACGUAAAUGAGGACAGAGAAGGAAUAAUUAACUCUAAUUUAAGUUGGAAAGUGUCAGAUGAGUUAAUAUUAUUGUAUGCAUGACGUUUUCAGAUUAUAUAUAUAGUUUCAUAAUUUUACUUUAUUUUAAUUUUAAUGCCUGUUUUAUACAAAGAUUUUAAUCAAUUUUAUAGAAAAUGAGCUUUGUAUAACUUUGUUUCAUAUUUCGAAAUAACGAAUUUUAUAUGUUACUUAGGAGUGCAAACAUUCUGUAUAGAUUUUUAUGUUAAUAGAGUGUUUUUUAGGGUUAUUGGCAGUAGCAAUUAAUUCUUAAAGAAAAGCGACGGUUAGGAAAUUUUUGUGCUUAGAAGAAAAUAAUUGUAUAUCAUGUGUAAAUAAUAAGAAUGGUCUGCUAAAUGCUUUUUACAAUAAAUUGAAAUAACUUGUAAAAUAAAAUUUUGUUAAAUUCCUAAAACAGCAAUAUUUUUAUAAUUCCUUUCUAUUUUUUUUAAAUCAUGUACAAAAUCUAUUUGAUUCCCUGCAUGUAAAUACGUUUCUUACCUGGUGCCGCCCCUUUGGAAGGUCGGCUGAUUUUCCUCCUUCAAAUCUAUUCCUGAAUCAUGAAAUUAUUUCCUUUGGUUCAAUAAACGCGGACGCGUUUGGUUUACUUGAGUAAUAUUUAUUGUUGUAAAUUUUAUUUUAAAUGCAUGGAACAAUAUCAAUUAAUUCUUGCACGAGACAAAAGUUUGCUGAGCAAUCAGAGUCAAUUUUUUCGAUUCGAGAAUAACAAAAAAUCCUGAAUUUUCUUCUCGUGGAGAGUGAAUCUUUAUUGUUUUUGGUGCAUUGGCACGGAAAUAUUUAGCGGAGCGGGAAAAUUAUCGUCCGGAAAAAGGAACGCUCGAAAUUGUUCGAUUUUACUGCAAACGUGAAAGAUUAGCUAUUCUGGCAAAUUAACUGGCCAAAAAUUGCAAUCGUUCUGAAAAUAUUAAUUUCUAGCUGCUAAAGUUUAUGACGGAAGGUGGCAACGGAAUUAUCAGGAACGACCUGAUUUGUUGAGCCGCAGGAUAUGACGAAACGAUCGAGAUAAUUUUUAGCCGUCUGUCCGGCCGAAAUUGGCGGCCAAGAAACGCACAUCUUUUACGAAAUUUUGGCUCCGUGCUGGCAAACGCAGCGGAAUGUCCGGAAAUAAAGCAGGUACCUUUUUCAGGACAGAUCCACACACGGUAAGUCGGAGAUUCUGGCGACAAUUUCAUGUUUAGUACCGCGUCCACUUCGUCCGCAGCAUCCAGCAUCUAUACACUCAGCACUCGCGUGCUGCCAUUCUAAUCUUAUGGGAGAUGAAGUGGCGCUUGUUGCUCUAGGGGCGGGGCUUGUUAAUUUACACCGAGCUUAUACCGGUACUUUUUGGGAGAACCACUACUUCCGACUUCACCAUUACUAAGAAAUCUUUGAAUAAAAGCAUAUCAAUUUUAUUAGCAAUCGUAAAUAUUCUGAUAAAUCAGUUGAAGUUUUGAAAUAAGUGCAAAUUUUCAUAUUUUAAAUAACCGGUUAUUUAAACUAACUCAAGCCAAGACCAGCCGCAACCGGUUUUCCUUCACCAGAAACAAACAACAAAUCGGUUUUCCCAGAAGCGAGGACCAGCUUGACCGCCAUGUUGAAUUCGCUGCUCCGCUCUUCCUGCCGCCUGUGACGUCACUUAAGAUGGCGGCGCAGUCGGCUCUCGCCCUUAGCAGCAGCUGUGAUGCCCUUGACGCGAGCGGCUUGCUUUGUUUUGAUUCGGAUCGCGCUGGUUUCGCGAUGCCUACGUGAGUUUCGACACCUGAAUUAAUAAUCCUGCGCAGCGGACCGGCGGAGACGUCACGCAACCGAGUCAUUAUAUAAAUCGCUGGAAAUGCUGUCGAGCGUCACGAGAGUGGUCGGCCGACUCCUGCCGUCUGCAACUGCAAUUAGUGCGACCAGAGCCAUGGCCACCAAGACGAUCCCUCUGUCCGACGACUUCCUCUUCAGACAGCUGUUCGACCGGGAGAGCUGCACCUACACGUACCUGCUGGCCGACCUGGGCAGCAAAGAGGCCGUUUUGAUCGACCCUGUGCUGGAACUGGCCGAAAGGGAUGCGCAACUCAUCUCGCAACUCGGGCUCAGCCUGAAAU